UGGCCGGGUGCUGUUGCACCCAUAGAGGCCAAGACUGGGGUUGACCACUGGCCUUGGCCCUGCAGAGGCCAUUGGGAUUGCAGUGAGCAGUUGAAUGUCGUAAUCAGGGCGAGAGCUCGGGGCGGGGGGGGGAGGCUAGGAGGUGGAAGAGGAGGCAGGAAGUGAAGUGAGGCCCCAGGCCCUGUGCCCCAGACACCAGCUGCGUCAGGACGCUGCAGGCUCAGUGCUGAAUCCCCUCCUGCUGCUGUACAGGCACCAGGGAUGCUCAUGAGCAGCCUUUCAGCAGCCCUUCUCCGCAUUGCCCAGUUCCCUCCGGCCAGUGUUCCCAGGUGUUUCACAAACACCUUUUCCUUAAGCCUGUUGGCGACAUUGAACAGGAGGGAGGGAGUUUUGUCACCUCGCAUGUGCCCCUGCCUUGGGAUCCAGCAUUCCCACAUGACAGCUGUGCUCCCUGCGGCUGACACGGGAGGCUUUUUGUUGAGGUGAGGCUUCCCCCUUGUAUUUGAAUUGGCUGUGAGGUGCUCUAAGGCGCCGAGUGUCAUUUAAAAUCAGAGGCACCUCGCAGCCGAAAGCACUGCUGCCCGGCGUCAUGGCCCAGCCUUGGGAGAACUUUCUUCAGCCUCAAAACAUUGCUCUGAGUCCUGUUAAGUUGUGUAGUUUUGUAUUUUCAAAACAACUUUUUGAAUGACAAUAGUAACCAUACAUACUUCAAACGGUUUUAGGAAAGUUUGCAGGUUUAAUGAAAUGAAAACUGUACCCAGUGAUAAUAUAUACUAAGGAUUAUUUAAAGUGUUUUAUGUCACUUUAAAUAAUCACAAAAUCCUUGGUUUUAUGUCACACUUCCUGUUGUCAGUACCGGUCCUGCUUGGAAGGAAGCCUCAGUGGCUGGGCUUGGCUUGUUGUGGCGUCGCCUCGCCCUGUUAGCCUCGUGCCAGAGCCUGUCCGGCCCCCUGGACUCGGGACAGUGCACAGAGCCCCACAGACCAGCCCCAGGCCGUCCUCCUGACCUCGGGCUUUUUACCAUUUCACACUUCCGGUUUUUAUAAUGUCAAAAAGACUUUAAAAAGAGGUUAAAGCCGUCUUUUUCCAAAGACUUCUUAUUUUUAAAAGUCAGAUUUUUUUUUCCUGAAAGCUCCCAUCACAAUAUUUGGGAACGUGGCACGGACUUCUGUGCUGUGGGGAGCGGGGCUUUUUUCCCUGCCUUUCUUGAAAAUCAUCCACAGCCACUCACCACUCCCUGUUUUUUUUGUUUGUUUGUUUGUUUUUGCAUUUUUGACUUAAGACCUUGACCAGAGAUCAGAUUUAAUGUUGCCUUCCUUUUAUUUGCUAACUUCGUGGCCCAGUAGAGCUCUGUGGGAAUGCCCGUUUAAGGCCCCUUUAGUUAUGUGAGAUACCUUUUCUUCCUCAAGGUAAGUGAAUUAUUCAUUGCAGAAACUGUCAUGAACUCGAGUGACGUGUUUAAUAUUGGCGCAUGUGAAAUAAUCUUUCACAGUUUUUUUCAGAGAGUAACUGUGUGCCUGGGCACUGCACCCAGGGCCGCAGCCUUUGGCGUUAGGGAAGCACACACAGUGUGGCCCGAGCCCACGGGGCCCACACUGCCGAGCAGACAGUACAUGCGAUGCCUUGUUUCCUUAACUGAAUUAGUAUUUUGGUGGACUUCACAUUUAUAGUAAGUUUUAUAAUAGAUUUUAUAAUCUUCAGUUUUCAAAAAUCACUUUAUUUAUAAUUUUUUCAGGAGAUAAAUCUCCCCCUAAACUUGAACCAUCAGAUGCAUUACCUCUUCCUUCAAACUCGGAGACUAAUUCAGAACCACCAACCCUCAAACCAGUAGAACUCAACCCAGAGCAGAGUAAACUUUUCAAAAGAGUCACAUUUGAUAAUGAAUCACAUAGCGCUUGCACUCAGAGCGCACUGGUAAGCGGACGCCCUCCAGAGCCCACCCGCGCCAGUAGUGGCGAUGUGCCGGCGGCGGCGGCCUCCGCGGUGGCGGAGCCAGCAAGCGAUGUAAACAGACGCACUUCUGUUCUCUUCUGCAAAUCGAAAAGUUCCUUCCGAGGUUGGAGACUCUUCUGCAGCCAAGGAAAAGGUCGCGGAGCACAUGCGGAGACUCCGAGGUGGAGGAGGAGUCCCCAGGAAAGCGCCUGGACGCAGGUAAAUGCCGCGGGCGGCCCUGAGAGGCGCCCUUGCCGACCAGUGCCUGGAGCGUCCUUCAGGAUCAUUGGUGUGACGGGGGGGGGGGGGUGUCCAGCUUCUGUUUUUGCAGCAUUCUCUUAAUUUCCAGAGAAGACAACAGUGCAGUGUUUUCUUUGAAAAGCCUUGAGUUGCGGGUCUGAGGCCGGCGCCUUCGUGGGGGGCCUGUUUGCCACGAGAGAUUGUGCAACCUUGCUGGGCUGCCCUGGGCCAGGGGUCGAUGGUCCUUGGUCCUGUCUUCUGCCACAUACUUCCUCUCUGAUUUUUUUUUAAGAGAGUCUUGCUUUGUCACCCAGGCUGGAGUGAGUGGCUCACUGCAGCCUCCAACUCCUGGGCUCAGGUGAUCCUCCUGCCUCAGCCUCUUGUGUAGCUGGGACUACAGGUGCACACCACCACUCCCAGCUAAUUUGAAAAUUUUUGGUAGAGAUGGGGGUCUCGCUGUGUUGUCCCGGCUGGUCUUGAACUCCUGGCCUCUGACUCCCAAAGUGUUGGGAUUAGAUGUGUGAGCCGCUGCACCUGGCCCCUUCUGAUCUUUAAAAAAGUACUGAGAAUGAAUUCAGGUGUAGUUUUAAUUGGUCAUCUUGACUUUGCUGUGCACAUCUGGAUAAGCUGGUGACUGGCCGCUCCCAGCACUUGUGGGAGCUCGACUCUGCAACCCUCAGUCAGGUCUCCUUGCAGCCCCACAGACCUAGGACCUGGGGUUGAGCCUGGCCCUUCCCUGGACCUCUGAGAGGACCUGCCCCUGUGGUAAAUGCAGUACUUUGCAGUUGAUUUCAGCAACAUUUACUCAUUGUUUUAUGUGGCCCUCUUAGCCACAUAUGUGAUGAGGUAUUAGGACCUGCUGAAAUAGCACUGGAAAGCGCUUCUCAUCUCUUGCUGCGCUUUUGUAACUGAACUCUGUUGAAUUCCUCGGUGAGGGUGUUGCCGUGUGUGUGCUGUGCUGGGAGCACUUUGAGGAGGCCGCUGUGUUCCUGCAGCCUCUGCUCCCCGCCCCUCAGAGGAAGCUGAGGAGUUUGUCCUUUAAAGAGGAGCAGCUGUCAUCGGUUUGCUUCUUCGGUACUGGCUGCGCUUCUGGAGGUGCCGGCUCAGGUUGCCAGCGACUCUUUUCUGGAAGCGUGUCUGGAGCAUGUUUGUCAUUUUGGUUUUUGUCCCGAGUCAAGGCUUGGUUCCCGUCUGUCCUGUCUGCCUGUUAUACCUAGAUAAGGAGAUGCGCAUUUUCUCCUGGCUGUGCUGGUGUGCCGUGGUGCCUCGUGCACUUGAGCAGUGAGAGAGGGUGGGGCUGGGUGGGUGUUGCUUAUUUCCCAGAGUGGCAGCAAGUGAGUCCUGUGUCAUGGAGCCUCACCAGGCCGGGUGCAGAUGGAAGGCUGUGGUGGGCAAGACCUGCCCAGGCCACUCCCUCACAUCUUGUCCCUGUUCCUUCUGCUGGUCUCUGGCCUGAAGCGUCCGGGGAGGGGAGUGAGACCAGGCACUGUCAAAGGUCUUUGUGCAGAAGGAGGCUCACUUCCUACCCUUGCCAGCAAGCAGGUCAUGCGUCUUGUUGCCAAAGUAAUUUCUGGUAAAUUUCAUUUUGAUUUGUAUGAAAAUUUUGCACGUAACUGAAUGUGUAGAAAUUUUCUACCCAUGUCCUUUUACUUUGAUGGAUUGAUGUUAAAUUGGCAUUUUAAAAUAAUUUGAAAAAGCUUUUUUGCUUUCUAAGUAAUAGGAAGCUAUUGAAAUGUUUCACAAGAUACCAAUAAGAAUAGAUGUCCUUGACUCAGGACUGGGGGAUGUGUCUUAACCACGUUGGUCUUUCUUAGCCACCUUUGGUGAAAGACUCUGACCUGGUUUUCCAAGCACCCCGGAAAUUCUGUGAUGAAUCGGGUCAGGGUGCUGUGCACUGGGUACUAGAGGUUGGGUCAGUGUAAUUGUGGGCGUCCCCUCUGCAUGCAGAACUUGGAGUUCGGCUGACGCUCCACUUCCUCGGGGUUUCACGUCUGUCGGCGGCAGAGGUAUGGGGCUGCGUGCGUG
rnacentral:lncRNA from 10 species